ACAUGUUUUAAAUAUUUACUGCAACAACAAUACUCUUCCUCCUCGUAUACUCAUAUGUCCCACAUUCGUUGUAAAAAUAUCAUCAUUAUUAUAUUAUUAAAAUAUAAUAAUAUAUUUAAAUGAAUUUCAAUUUUCAAAAAUUGUAACAUUAAAAUUUUCUCCAUCUAUAUCCACAUAAAAUCAAUAUUUUCCUCAUCAUACGAAUCAAUAAUUAAUUAUUCACAAAUAAUAUUACAGAAUCACAAUAUUGACAACCAGACAGUUCCCAGGAAAGAGGGGGCUUUCCAAUAAGAAUUUCUCCUUACUAGCGCGCAAUUAAGUGACCAAACUUCUCCUUAGACAGAACUUUCUAGACAUUGCCAAUAAUGUUAUCUAAUAAUAUUAUUCAGAUAAUAUAAAUUAUUGCUUCGAUAAUGAAAAAUACCGUGUACUGACAAUUAUUGAAACAACAGCAAUAUAAAAUAUCAACGCAGCAAUUAUUAAAUCAAUAAAAUAAAAUACUGAACAGUAGUUACUGUAACUAUUAUUGAGUAGUGUCUUCUUACGUAAGAAUCAAUAAUUGGUGCAAUACCGUGUGCUACUGUUCAACAACGCGUAUUAGUGUGUUUUAACCACCGGGUAUUCCAACAGUAUUAACGGUAACAACUACGUCGUUAUUUAUAACUCAUACUUGUCUUUUUCUUCAUCCAAUCGUUUUCCGUUAUGGUGCCCACAAAAGACUGCGUCAUCGUACGAAUAUUCCCCGACAGUAAGAAUAUUCCACGACCAAACAAAUAUUCCCCGACAAUAAUAAAUAUUUUAUAAUCACUAGCUUAUUCGAAAUAUUUACAUAUUUUACCCAUAACUAUCCACAUUAAUCAAAUCAACUCUUACUAUUUUAAAAUAAUAAAUAAAAAAAAAUAAAUUUCAUUUAUUAAUGAUUUGAGAUCUUAUAUAAUUUAAUUUAAAUAAAAUGAGGCCGAAUUUUUCUUCCACCCCUCUAGUAUAGGACGGAGGGAGUCAUGUGUAUCCCCAGUCUAGGUCCCACCUUAAUUAAACCUCAGCUCACGUUACACAGUGAAAGACACUUUAAUACAAUUUGGCAUCACCCAGAAGGAGGAGA
rnacentral:lncRNA from 1 species